rnacentral:tRNA from 1 species
UUUUUAAUAGUGUAUAAACACAGAAAAUUUUCGUUUUUCAAAUCCAAAAUAUAAUGGUUAAAAUA